rnacentral:rRNA from 1 species
GCUGGCGGCAGGCCUAACACAUGCAAGUCGAACGGAGUUAUAUUGUAGCUUGCUAUGGUAUAACUUAGUGGCAGACGGGUGAGUAAUGUAUAGGAAUCUACCUAGUAGUACGGAAUAAUUGUUGGAAACGGCAACUAAUACCGUAUACGCCCUACGGGGGAAAAAUUUAUUGCUAUUAGAUGAGCCUAUAUUAGAUUAGCUAGUUGGUGGAGUAAUAGCCUACCAAGGCAAUGAUCUAUAGCUGAUCUGAGAGGAUGAUCAGCCACACUGGAACUGAGAUACGGUCCAGACUCCUACGGGAGGCAGCAGUGGGGAAUAUUGGACAAUGGGCGAAAGCCUGAUCCAGCCAUGCCGCAUGAGUGAAGAAGGCCUUUGGGUUGUAAAGCUCUUUUAGUGAGGAAGAUAAUGACGGUACUCACAGAAGAAGUCCUGGCUAACUCCGUGCCAGCAGCCGCGGUAAUACGGAGAGGGCUAGCGUUAUUCGGAAUUAUUGGGCGUAAAGGGCGCGUAGGCGGAUUAGUAAGUUAAAAGUGAAAUCCCAAGGCUCAACCUUGGAAUUGCUUUUAAAACUGCUAAUCUAGAGAUUGAAAGAGGAUAGAGGAAUUCCUAGUGUAGAGGUGAAAUUCGUAAAUAUUAGGAGGAACACCAGUGGCGAAGGCGUCUAUCUGGUUCAAAUCUGACGCUGAGGCGCGAAGGCGUGGGGAGCAAACAGGAUUAGAUACCCUGGUAGUCCACGCUGUAAACGAUGAAUGUUAAAUAUGGGAAGUUUUACUUUCUGUAUUACAGCUUACGCGUUAAACAUUCCGCCUGGGGACUACGGUCGCAAGAUUAAAACUUCAAGGAAUUGACGGGGACCCGC